GGCGGGCGUGGCCAAGUGGUAAGGCAAAGGAUUGUGACUCCUUUAUUCGCGGGUUCGAACCCCGUCGUUCGCC
rnacentral:tRNA from 1 species